rnacentral:snRNA from 1 species
GUGCUCACUCCGACAGCACAUAUACUAAAAUCGGAAAGAUACAGAGAAGAUUAGCAUGGCCCCUGUGCAAGGAUGACAUGAAAAUUCAUGAAGCAUUCCAUAAAAAA